rnacentral:rRNA from 1 species
CAGCAGCCGCGGUAAUACGUAGGGCGCAAGCGUUGUCCGGAAUUAUUGGGCGUAAAGAGCUCGUAGGCGGUCUGUCGCGUCUGGUGUGAAAUCCCGAGGCUCAACCUCGGGCUUGCAUCGGGUACGGGCAGACUAGAGUGCGGUAGGGGAGACUGGAAUUCCUGGUGUAGCGGUGGAAUGCGCAGAUAUCAGGAGGAACACCGAUGGCGAAGGCAGGUCUCUGGGCCGCAACUGACGCUGAGGAGCGAAAGCAUGGGGAGCGAACAGGAUUAGAUACCCGUGUAGUCCCUGUCUCUUAUAA